GCUUCAAGCAGAGAGGAGGAGACAGUGUAACAAUGGAAUGUAAAGAUGGUGGAGGUGGCUGCCUACAAAAACUCUGCUUCAAAUUUGAGGAAACAUGUAAUGGUACAAAAAAGGAAACAUCCAUUAAAGAUGACAAACUACAAUAUGUUCACCUUUGCAACCACAAACAAACCAAGGAACUAUCAAACACCUCUUCAACUUGCAAGCAAGCAAAGAUGUCUGAAAUGUAUGGCAGUGGGAGGAGCCAGGUGCAUCUCACAAGCAACCGUUGACAAGCUUGUCAUUGAUUUGAUCUGUGAGGGCCAACAGCCGUUCUCUGCGGUCAAACAACCAGCUUUUAAAGAGUUGGUAACCACCCUGCAUCCUCAAUGCAAAGUCAUCUCCAGACCUACUGUUCGUUCAAGAAUAUAUGAAGCAGCCAAUCACAUGAAGAAGACCGUUAUGGCACAACAUGGCAGGGUACAUUAUGUUGCCACCAUCACUGUUUGGACAGCUCAUCGAAGGAGUUACAUCAGGGUCACAUGUCACUGGAUAGAUUAAGAAACACAGAUGUUCUGCUGCACUCGCUUGCAGGAGAUUGAGAGGUUCCCACACAUGUGAUGUGCUUGCAGGUGCCCUCGAUGACAUCCAUUAUGCAUACAGGAUCAGGGGGGAAAGUAGUAAGAACCACAAGACAGUGGUUCAAACUUCAUCAAAGCGUUCAAUGUUUUUUUUGGUGAGCAGAGCCAGGCAGUCGAGUCAGCAGACCAAGACUCAGAUGCUGAAGAGCCAGCAGAGCAGGUUGAAUGGCAAGACACCUAUUCCAUCCUGGAAAAUGACAGUGGCCUAGAAUAUCAACUCCCUCAGCAUUAACGGUGUGCAUGUCACCUGCUGAACCUCAUUGCAACAGAUUCCGUGAUGGCUACAAAAGGUUGUCCAGAUCAUCUUUUGCCAAAUGCCAUGUGGAGUAAAACGGGACGGUCAACCUUAGCUGCUGAAGUUGUAGAGAAUGAGCGCAAACUGCAGUUGAUCCGUCCAAAUCAAAACCAGUUGGAACUCAACUUACCUGGAGAGGAUCACACAUAUCAUACAAGAGAAGGGGGAGGAUGCCAUAAGAAAGGUGUGACAAAAAUUAAAAGUGAAAAUGCUGAGCCCGGCAGAAAUGUCCUUCUUGAAAGAGUACUGCAAAGUGAUGAAGCCAUUGGUCUCAGCUUUGAACAUUUUACAGUCUGAGACAUUUACAUUUAAGUCAUUUAGCAGACGCUACAUGCAUAUGGGGUGGCUGCUACCAGUGAUCUUCUUACUAAAAAACAAAACUUCAAAAGGUCGGGAAGCAUCUUGCCAAAUGUGCCUACCACUUAUCAGAGCCAUUCAGAAUGGCAAAUUCAGAGAGAAGUGAUGCGAGUUAAGUGUUCGAUAGGUUGUUCCACAAAUAAUAUGGCUUUUGAACAUUUGUAUAUGUGAAGUUGAAGAUUUAAUAUUAAAAUCAGCUGUGGUGGAUCUUA